GUGGCGGAUUCCGAAAAGCCGAUAGAGUAGGAC
rnacentral:ncRNA from 1 species